GAAAUUCUAACAAUAUCAAUAGAGACUAUCUUGGACUGCUCAGUUGGCACAGUCAGAAUUUGGAACUUUGAACAAGGAAUUUACAUUCUGAGCAAGGCAAUAUGAAUAAACUACAAACAAGUCCAACCUGGAAUUUUUUCUCCGAUCAACCAAUGUAUGUGCAAAAGAAGCUAAUAAAACAUUAAACCAUUCAAAACUGCUUUUGUUUAUUUCUAUCAAAUUCAUUAUGUGCUCUCAUGUUGAAAUUUGUGGAUGUGCCGUUUUGUUGCCCAGAAAUGUAGCAAGCAAAAAUGUAGUCUAUCUUUUUGGUUUUAGUUU